UAGCUCAGUUGGUAGAGCGCUCCACUGGAAAUGAAGAGGUCCCUGGUUCAACACCAGG
rnacentral:tRNA from 1 species